UGUUUUAGUUUUAUUAAUUUGUGAACUUUUCAAAUGGUUCAACCAAUCAGACAUGGAAGAUCUAUUCCAUAUUGAGCCUCAAUGAUUAACAGAGACAAGGUAGAUCUAGAAGGUAAAUGCAAUUCACAAAUAAUCAAGCAGGUGGCACUGCCAGAAAAAAACAAACAUAUGAUGAAAUUCACUUUUCCUGCCCAAAUUACUCAUGAAAGGUUUUUGAAGCUUUUCGUAAUUGACCAAGCUAUUUUCUACAGAAAAAGAACAAUCAGCUGCACUUGAGAUUACCAGAAGUAAACAUUGCAUAAAGAUAGAGUUCAGCCACUGUUGUGACCAAAAGAAAAAUCAAUUGAACCAAAGUGCUGUUUGAUUAAGACUUUUUUUUAAAGAGUCCUUCUUUGAGGUCAUGGGACCCUUAUUAUUUUCUCAGAUAACCUUCUAUAUAAACUGUUGCAGCAUGCAAACAGUUACAUGUAACCACAACAGCGAGAACAACCAAGACAUGCACCACAAGCAACAACAACAGACUUCUGUUUGGUGUUAAAUCAUUUCAAUGGGAUGAAGCCAGAUAAAAAAAAAAAAGACAUAUAAAUAUGAAAUGAUCUUACUUGUGUUUGAAUAAUUGUAAUCCUCUGUGAUGAUCAUGAAUGAUAAGUGACAAGAGAUGAAUGAUUAAUUUAAUGGUAAUACACAAUACCAACAUCACUAUGGAUAUUACUCAACUCAAUUACAAUCAUACACUAUUCUAGACUCCUUUUGCUGCCCAGUGACUUAAGCAUGAUUGUAAUAGCCAAGAAUAAAUACUACUGAUGCAGUCUAUUCAAUAUAGACUAAACAUUGACGAGUAUUGAGAAUGAAAGUUAUUAAAAUAAGAUUUGUUCAAAGAAAUGACAUUUUUCUCAAAUUAAAAAGUCUGGUUUGUAACAGCCAACAUACACUUUUUUUUUUUAAUUUCUGUCUGAGCAUGACAGGGACCUAGACAUGGUAACAUAAGAACUGACAUUUGUAAGCCAAAGGCAGCAUAAAGAGUCUAUGCAUAUACAACUUUCUGAUUGAUGGUAUGCACAGUGCUGAUGAAUUAGAUUCAUGCCUUUAUAGGCCUAGUAUUAAGACACAUAGAAUAUGGUAUAUUUUAAAAAUAAUGAAACCUAAAAACUGCCACAUUAGAGAUAAUAAAAAGUCAUUGGACUAUAAACACAUUUUUGAAGUAGUGUCUGUAUUAUAUAAGAUAAGAUAAAAACUUGCUUGAAAUACAAUGUCAGAAUAUAAACUAUUAAAUAGCAAAAGUCUUAAAAAGAAUUUAAUAUCAUUGACU